AGAUGCCAAAGUUUCCAUUGGAAAACCUGCACGUGUCGGGGACCACCAAACAAUUCUUGCAAACCCAGACCCUCUGCGGCCAGGGUCGGGUGAUGGGGAGGAGCUGCGAGGAUUAGUUGCCGUUGAAGGGGGCUCCGCCAAUGAAAUCUUCUCUGCGCUCUGAUUUGGCGGUUCUUCGGUGCAAAUAUGACAGCUUUCUCUCUCAGCUCUUUUCUGCAUCUCUCCAUGUCCGACCCCGGAGCCCAGUUCUCGGUCUGCAAUUUCUACACCACAACCUUUGCAAUCACUACCACCACCACCCCUAGGUCCCAUGUCAGCAGGUGCCAGGUUGCUACAAAGGUGACAGGGCACAUUGGGAAGAAGGCUUGUUGAUUGCAGAAGAUACUUAUGCCCCGUGUUUCCAGGUGGGGAAAUGUUAGAAUAAAUGUACUUUGUACUAAAUAUAUAGUCAUGGAGAAUUGUUCAGAUUGUUUAUUUCUUUCUUUGAUGCUAACUAAUGUAUUAGAAAGAAACAGAUAUUUAUCUGUCUUUGCUGUUUUUUUUUUUCUUUCUUCCCAAACAGGUCGAUGCCUGUGUGUUCCAUCAGUUAAUGGGGAGUAGUAGUUAAGAGAGUGUACUAGUGAGGCGUUGGUGAGGUGGGAUUUUGCUGUCUAUCGAGGAAAAUAAAAGAUGUGAACUUCC
ensembl:lincRNA